rnacentral:rRNA from 1 species
ACUCCUACGGGAGGCAGCAGUGGGGAAUAUUGGACAAUGGGCGAAAGCCUGAUCCAGCCAUGCCGCGUGUGUGAAGAAGGUCUUCGGAUUGUAAAGCACUUUAAGUUGGGAGGAAGGGCAGUAAGUUAAUACCUUGCUGUUUUGACGUUACCAACAGAAUAAGCACCGGCUAACUUCGUGCCAGCAGCCGCGGUAAUACGAAGGGUGCAAGCGUUAAUCGGAAUUACUGGGCGUAAAGCGCGCGUAGGUGGUUCAGCAAGUUGGAUGUGAAAUCCCCCGGGCUCAACCUGGGGAACUGCAUCCAAAACUACUGAGCUAGAGUACGGUAGAGGGUGGUGGAAUUUCCUGUGUAGCGGUGAAAUGCGUAGAUAUAGGAAGGAACACCAGUGGCGAAGGCGACCACCUGGACUGAUACUGACACUGAGGUGCGAAAGCGUGGGAGCAAACAGGAUUAGAUA